rnacentral:rRNA from 1 species
UGGGAAUCUUGGACAAUGGGGCAACCCUGAUCCAGCUAUGCCGCGUGGGUGAUGAAGGCCUUAGGGUCGUAAAGCCCUUUCGCCGGGGAAGAUAAUGACGGUACCCGGUAAAGAAGCCCCGGCUAACUCCGUGCCAGCAGCCGCGGUAAUACGGAGGGGGCUAGCGUUGUUCGGAAUGACUGGGCGUAAAGCGCGCGUAGGCGGAUCAGGAAGUUGGGGUGAAAUCCCGGGGCUCAACCUCGGAAUGGCCUUCAAAACUCCUGGUCUUGAGUUCGAGAGAGGUGAGUGGAAUUCCGAGUGUAGAGGUGAAAUUCGUAGAUAUUCGGAGGAACACCAGUGGCGAAGGCGGCUCACUGGCUCGACACUGACGCU